rnacentral:rRNA from 1 species
AUUGAACGCUGGCGGCAGGCCUAACACAUGCAAGUCGAACGCGUGGCGGACGGGUGAGUAAUGUCUGGGAAACUGCCUGAUGGAGGGGGAUAACUACUGGAAACGGUAGCUAAUACCGUAUACCAUCAGAUGUGCCCAGAUGGGAUUCGCUGGUUGGUGGGGGAACGGCUCUCCAAGGCGACGAUCCCUAGCUGGUCUGAGAGGAGGACCAGCCGCACGGGAGAUGAGACACGGUCCAGACUCCUAGGGUAGGCAGCAGUGGGGAAUAUUGCACAAUGGGCGCGAUCCUGAUACAGCCGUGCCGCGUGUAUGAAGAAGGCCUUCGGGUUGUAAAGUACUUUCAGCGGGGAGGCGUUACCCGCAGAAGAAGCACCGGCUAACUCCGUGCCAGCAGCCGCGGUAAUUC